UGGGGAAUAUUGGACAAUGGACCAAAAGUCUGAUCCAGCAAUUCUGUGUGCACGAUGAAGUUUUUCGGAAUGUAAAGUGCUUUCAGUUGGGACGAAGUAAGUGACGGUACCAACAGAAGAAGCGACGGCUAAAUACGUG
rnacentral:rRNA from 1 species